rnacentral:rRNA from 1 species
AGUGAACGCUGGCGGUGGGCCUAACACAUGCAAGUCGAACGGCAGCACAGUAAGAGUUUGCUCUUACGGGUGGCGAGUGGCGGACGGGUGAGGAAUACAUCGGAUUCUACUUUUUCGGGGGGGAUAACGUAGGGACACUUAUGAUAAUACCGCAUAUGACCUACGGGUGAAAGCAGGGGAUCUUCGGACCUUGCGCGAUUGAAUGAGCCGAUGUCGGAUUAGCUUGUUGGCAGGGUAAAGGACCACCAAGGCGACGCUCCGUAGCUGACCUGAGCGGAUGGUCGGCAACACUGAAACGGGAACACGUCCCAGCUCCUUAGGGGAGCCAGCAGUGGGGAAUUUUGGACAAUGGGCGAAAGCCUAAGCAAGCAAUACCGGUUGGGUAAAGAAGGCUUUCGAGCGGUAAAGCCCUUUUGUUGGGAAAAAAAAGCAUCUGAUUAAUUACGCGCUGUUCUGACGGUACCAAAAGAAUAAGCACCGGCUAACUUCUU